CAGUUUUGGUUUAGCUGAAAACACCCCAAAUAUAGGAGUCAUAACAAACAACAUCGGUACUUUCAGCAUAGCGGUAGGAUUGGAUACAAUUUCAGUUGUUCCAGGGUCGAUUCUAAUCGUAUAUCCAACAGCAACUACUUCGACUACUGAUGCAGUUACAGGUGUAACAAGUACUAGUGAGACUCUCGGACCAACUACAGGUAUG